UCGAGGAUCUUCGGCAAUGGGCGCAAGCCUGACCGAGCGACGCCGCGUGUGCGAUGAAGGCCUUCGGGUUGUAAAGCACUGUCGAGGGGGAGGAAGCCGCAAGGUUGACCUAUCCCUGGAGGAAGCACGGGCUAAGUUCGUGCCAGCAGCCGCGGUAAGACGAACCGUGCGAACGUUGUUCGGAAUCACUGGGCUUAAAGGGCGCGUAGGCGGACUGCCAAGUCAGGGGUGAAAUCUUUCGGCUUAACCGGAAAACAGCCUUUGAUACUGGCAGUCUCGAGUGAGGUAGGGGCCGUUGGAACUUCCGGUGGAGCGGUGAAAUGCGUUGAUAUCGGAAGGAACGCCGGUGGCGAAAGCGAACGGCUGGACCUCUUCUGACGCUGAGGCGCGAAAGCCAGGGGAGCAAACGGGAUUAGAUACCCCGGUAGUCC
rnacentral:rRNA from 1 species